rnacentral:rRNA from 1 species
ACUGACGCUCAUGCACGAAAGCGUGGGGAGCAAACAGGGUUAGAUACCCUGGUAGUCCACGCCCUAAACGAUGUCAACUGGUUGUUGGGAAUUCACUUUCUCAGUAACGAGGCUAACGCGUGAAGUUGACCGCCUGGGGAGUACGGCCGCAAGGUUAAAACUCAAAGGAAUUGACGGGGACCCGCACAAGCGGUGGAUGAUGUGGUUUAAUUCGAUGCAACGCGAAAAACCUUACCCACCUUUGACAUGUACGGAAGAUCGCAGAGACGCGAUUGUGCUCGAAAGAGAGCCGUAACACAGGUGCUGCAUGGCUGUCGUCAGCUCGUGUCGUGAGAUGUUGGGUUAAGUCCCGCAACGAGCGCAACCCUUGUCAUUAGUUGCUACAUUCAGUUGGGCACUCUAAUGAGACUGCCGGUGACAAACCGGGGGAAGGUGGGGAUGACGUCAAGUCCUCAUGGCCCUGAUAGGUGGGGCUACACACGUCAUACAAUGGCUGGUACAAAGGGUUGCCAACCCGCGAGGGGGAGCCAAUCCCACAAAGCCAGUCGUAGUCCGGAUCGUAGUCUGCAACUCGACUACGUGAUGUCGGAAUCGCUAGUAAUCGUGGAUCAGAAUGUCACGGUGAAUACGUACCCGGGUCUUGUACACACCGCCCGUCACACCAUGGGAGCGGGUUCUGCCAGAAGUAGGUAGCCUAACCGUAAGGAGGGCGCUACCACGGCAGG